rnacentral:rRNA from 1 species
GCGUGUAGCAGUGAAGUGCGUAGAGAUGUGGAGGAAUACCAAUGGCGAAGGCAGCCCCCUGGGAUAAUACUGACGCUCAUGCACGAAAGCGUGGGGAGCAAACAGGAUUAGAUACCCUGGUAGUCCACGCCCUAAACGAUGCUGACUAGUUGUUCGGGAAUUUAUUCCUGAGUAACGUAGCUAACGCGUGAAGUCAGCCGCCUGGGGAGUACGGUCGCAAGAUUAAAACUCAAAGGAAUUGACGGGGACCCGCACAAGCGGUGGAUGAUGUGGAUUAAUUCGAUGCAACGCGAAAAACCUUACCUACCCUUGACAUGCCACUAACGAAGUAGAGAUACAUUAGGUGCCCGUAAGGGAAAGUGGACACAGGUGCUGCAUGGCUGUCGUCAGCU